rnacentral:rRNA from 1 species
UGCAGUCGACGGUGUCUUCGGACACAGUGGCGGACGGGUGAGUAACGCGUGAGAAUCUGCCAUCAGGUCUGGGACAACCACUGGAAACGGUGGCUAAUACCGGAUGUGCCGAGAGGUGAAAGGUUAACUGCCUGUUGAUGAGCUCGCGUCUGAUUAGCUAGUUGGCAGUGUAAUGGACUACCAAGGCGACGAUCAGUAGCUGGUCUGAGAGGAUGAUCAGCCACACUGGGACUGAGACACGGCCCAGACUCCUACGGGAGGCAGCAGUGGGGAAUUUUCCGCAAUGGGCGAAAGCCUGACGGAGCAAUACCGCGUGAGGGAGGAAGGCUCUUGGGUCGUAAACCUCUUUUCUCAGGGAAGAACAAAAUGACGGUACCUGAGGAAUAAGCAUCGGCUAACUCCGUGCCAGCAGCCGCGGUAAUACGGAGGAUGCAAGCGUUAUCCGGAAUGAUUGGGCGUAAAGCGUCCGCAGGUGGCUAUGUAAGUCUGCUGUUAAAGCGUCUAGCUCAACUAGAUAAGAGCAGUGGAAACUACAAGGCUAGAGUGCGUUCGGGGCAGAGGGAAUUCCUGGUGUAGCGGUGAAAUGCGUAGAGAUCAGGAAGAACACCGGUGGCGAAAGGCGCUCUGCUAGGCCGCAACUGACACUGAGGGACGAAAGCUAGGGGAGCGAAUGGGAUUAGAUACCCCAGUAGUCCUAGCCGUAAACGAUGGAUACUAGGCGUGGCUUGUAUCGACCCGAGCCGUGCCGUAGCUAACGCGUUAGUAUCCCGCUAGAGUACGCACGCAGUGGUGAAACUCAAGGAAUGACGGGGCCGCACAGCCGUGAGUAUGUG